GAUGAAGAACGUAGCUAAAUGCGAUAAGUAGUGUGAAUUGCAGAAUUCAGUGAAUCAUCGAAUCUUUGAACGCACAUUGCGCCCCUUGGUAUCCCGAGGGGCAUGCCUGUUCGAGCGUCAUUUCACCACUCAAGCCUGGCUUGGUGUUGGGCGACGUCCCCUUUGGGGACGCGCCUCGAAACGCUCGGCGGCGUGGCACCGGCUUUAAGCGUAGCAGAAUCUUUCGCUUUGGAAGUCGGGGCCCCGUCUGCCGGAAGACCUACUCGCAAGGUUGACCUCGGAUCAGGCAGGGAUACCCGCUGAACUUAAGCAUAUCAAUAAGCGGAGGA
rnacentral:misc_RNA from 1 species